UACGGAGGGAGCUAGCGUUGUUCGGAAUUACUGGGCGUAAAGCGCACGUAGGCGGCUUUGUAAGUUAGAGGUGAAAGCCUGGGGCUCAACUCCAGAAUUGCCUUUAAGACUGCAUCGCUUGAAUCAUGGAGAGGCGAGUGGAAUUCCGAGUGUAGAGGUGAAAUUCGUAGAUAUUCGGAAGAACACCAGUGGCGAAGGCGGCUCGCUGGACAUGUAUUGACGCUGAGGUACGAAAGCGUGGGGAGCAAACAGG
rnacentral:rRNA from 1 species